AUUGAACGCUGGCGGCAUGCCUUACACAUGCAAGUCGAACGGUAACGGGCCUUCGGGUCCCGACGAGUGGCGAACGGGUGAGUAAUAUAUCGGAACGUGCCCAGUAGUGGGGGAUAGCCCGGCGAAAGCCGGAUUAAUACCGCAUACGACCUACGGGUGAAAGGGGGGGAUCGCAAGACCUCUCGCUAUUGGAGCGGCCGAUAUCAGAUUAGGUAGUUGGUGGGGUAAAGGCCUACCAAGCCUGCGAUCUGUAGUUGGUCUGAGAGGACGACCAGCCACACUGGGACUGAGACACGGCCCAGACUCCUACGGGAGGCAGCAGUGGGGAAUUUUGGACAAUGGGGGCAACCCUGAUCCAGCAAUGCCGCGUGCAGGAAGAAGGCCUUCGGGUUGUAAACCGCUUUUGUCAGGGAAGAAAUCCUCUGGGUUAAUACCUCGGGGGGAUGACGGUACCUGAAGAAUAAGCACCGGCUAACUACGUGCCAGCCGCCGCCGUAACAC
rnacentral:rRNA from 1 species